CUGCCAAAAAACCAUCAGUCAGUGAGAGGAUGUGUGCACCAUCAGUUAAUGAAAGCAAAGUGAUAGACUGUGUGCACCAAUAGUCAGGGAAAGGAUAGUGAUAGACUGAGUGCACCAUCAGUCAGGAAAAGGAUAGUGGUAAACUGUGUGUACCAUUAGUCAGGGAAGGGAUAGUGAUAGACUGUGUGCAACAUCAGUCAGGAAAAGAAUAGUGGUCAUCUUUGUGCAACAUCAGGCAGGGAAAUGAUGGUGAUAGACUGAGUGCACCAUCAGUCAGUGAUAGGAUUGUGAGAGGAUGUGUGCACCAUCACUCAGGGAAAGUGUAGUGACUAGUGAGAGACCAUCAGAAAGGAAAAAAAUAGAGACUGUGUGUACCAUCAGUCGGGGAAAGGAUGGUAAUAGACUGUGUGCACCAUCAGUUAGGGAAAGGAUAGUGAUAUACUGUGUGCACCAUUAGUCAGGGCAAGAACAGGGACAGGCUGUGUGCACUAACAGUCAGAGAAAGGUUAGU